rnacentral:misc_RNA from 1 species
UCUCCGUUGGUGAACCAGCGGAGGGAUCAUUACAGAGUUGCAAAACUCCCAAACCAUUGUGAACGUUACCUAUCCCGUUGCUUCGGCGGGCGGCCCGGGCCCCGCGCCCGGCCCCCCCCGGCCCCCCGUGGGCGCCCGCCGGAGGUAAACCAAACCCUUGAAUUGCAUGGCCUCUCUGAGUCUUCUGUACUGAAUAAGUCAAAACUUUCAACAACGGAUCUCUUGGUUCUG